rnacentral:rRNA from 1 species
GAUGAACGCUGGCGGCGUGCCUAAUACAUGCAAGUCGAGCGAACAGAUAAGGAGCUUGCUCCUUUGACGUUAGCGGCGGACGGGUGAGUAACACGUGGGUAACCUACCUAUAAGACUGGGAUAACUUCGGGAAACCGGAGCUAAUACCGGAUAAUAUUUCGAACCGCAUGGUUCGAUAGUGAAAGAUGGUUUUGCUAUCACUUAUAGAUGGACCCGCGCCGUAUUAGCUAGUUGGUAAGGUAACGGCUUACCAAGGCGACGAUACGUAGCCGACCUGAGAGGGUGAUCGGCCACACUGGAACUGAGACACGGUCCAGACUCCUACGGGAGGCAGCAGUAGGGAAUCUUCCGCAAUGGGCGAAAGCCUGACGGAGCAACGCCGCGUGAGUGAUGAAGGUCUUCGGAUCGUAAAACUCUGUUAUUAGGGAAGAACAAACGUGUAAGUAACUGUGCACGUCUUGACGGUACCUAAUCAGAAAGCCACGGCUAACUACGUG